CAAUUUCUGCCCAAUGAUUUUUUUAAUGGCCGCGUACCCUGACUGUGCUAAGGUAGCAUAAUAAAUUGGCUUUUAAAUGAGGUCUAGAAUGAAAGAAUUUUUGAGUAGUAAUUGUCUUUUUUUUAAUUUAUUGAAGUUAUUUUAUUAGGUGAAAAGACCUAUUUUUAUAAGAAAGACGAGAAGACCCUUAGAAUUUUAAAAAUUUUUCUGUUGGUAAUUUUUUUUUGUUGGGGUGACAUAUUAACAAUUUUAACUUUUUUUACUACAAGACCAUAUAUUUAGUUAGAAUAAAUUACCUUAGGGAUAACAGCAUAAUUUUUUUUUAAGAUUAUGACCUCGAUGUUGGACUAGGAACCUAAUAGUUAGUAAUUAAAUUGGUUAGUUCUGUUCGAACUAUCUCUCCU
rnacentral:rRNA from 1 species